AGGACAGAACAUGGACACAAUGCAAUUGGGAUCAAGAAGAAGGCACAGAUAUGUUAUGUUCUCAGAAAUGAAUCAAGUCCAUGGAAUGGAUAUAGACAAAAAGAUAAUUCAAGGACUAGCAGAGGUGAGGCAGGGGUGAGGACAUCAUCCUGCUAUUUGACAGUCCCUGAAGGACAAUACAAAAUAGGACUGGAGACCACAGCAGCGAUUCUGCUCGUGCCCUACCUCUUCAAUGAGAACCCGAGUGGCCUUUAUGUCCGUGACAAGAUUUCACCUCUUUUCACUCCUUUACGGCACAUCGGUGGAUAACCAUUUCACCAUGAGAGUGAAUUCCCGCUGGCCUUUGAUGGGGAGAAUAUCCACGCCCUCGAGGACGUCCCCAUUGGACUUGGGGCUCUGCUAGGGCUGAAUUUAUUUAUUUUCCUUAAAUUUCCCCAAAAUGUCAGAAAAACACUUGUGUUGUUCAGUUACUGUGUUCUGGGGAUAAGAGAAGUUGGGGUACCAGGGCCGGUCAUAAAGAUGGCAAACUUCCUAACAUAUCUAAAUGGAUACAAUAUACAUAUACUCUACAAUAUUGUUAGUUUACCUAUGAUUAAUUUUUAAUGAAUGUGGUUUUUAUUGUAUCAUUUAAAUUUAUUUGUUAAAUGUCAUGAAAUGCACUAUACAAAGUAAAUGUAUUUAUUAUGGUCUGACAUGUCUGCAGAAAUGUUGCA